rnacentral:rRNA from 1 species
AUGAAGCGAGAAGUCGACGCGCCGUUUUUCGGCGUCCGGCCCUCCGCAAGCGCCCGCGGGAGUAUGGGUUCCGGACCUGGUCCGAUCCCGUUCCCUCCGUGGGGCUGUUUGCGAUCUGGAGGUGUCCUCGGACGGCGUCGUUUUUCUCCAGUCCGCGACGCUACGGCUUGGAUGGCCUACCCGACCCGUCUUGAAACACGGACCAAGGAGUCUAACAUGCGCGCGAGUCGUUGGGUCGGACGCGCUCCGCUAAACCCAUAGGCGAAAUGAAAGUGAAGGCCCCUUCUGGGUGCCGAGGGAGGACGGAGCGGGUCCCCUCGCGGGACGGCUCCCGCACUCCCGGGGCGUCUAAUUCCUCAUUGCGAGGGAAGGCGCACCCAGAGCGCACACGUUGGGACCCGAAAGAUGGUGAACUAUGCCUGGCCAGGACGAAGUCAGGGGAAACCCUGAUGGAGGUCCGUAGCGAUUCUGACGUGCAAAUCGAUCGUCGGAGCUGGGGAUAGGGGCGAAAGACUAAUCGAACCAUCUAGUAGCUGGUUCCCUCCGAAGUUUCCCUCAGGAUAGCUUGCGCUCGGAGAAGAGUCUCAUCCGGUAAAGCGAAUGAUUAGAGGCCUUGGGGCCGAAACGGCUUCAACCUAUUCUCAAACUUUAAAUGGGUGAGAACUCCGGCUUGCUCGAUUUAAUGAAGCCGGAGUCGGGGCCACGAGCCCCCAGGAUCGGAGUGCAUAGUGGGCCACUUUUGGUAAGCAGAACUGGCGCUGUGGGAUGAACCAAACGACGGGUUAAGGCGCCCGAAUCGACGCUCAUGGGAAACCAUGAAAGGUGUUGGUUGCUUAAGACAGCAGGACGGUGGCCAUGGAAGUCGGAAUCCGCUAAGGAGUGUGUAACAACUCACCUGCCGAAGCAACUAGCCCUGAAAAUGGAUGGCGCUGAAGCGUCGUGCCUAUACCCGGCCGUCGCGGCAGGGCGGGCCCCGUGAGGGGUGCCGCUUGAUGCGGCGACGAGUAGGAGGGUCGCGGCGGCGUGCGCAGAAGGGUCUGGGCUCGAGCCUACCUGGAGCCGCCGCCGGUGCAGAUCUUGGUGGUAGUAGCAAAUACUCCAGCGAGGCCCUGGAGGACUGAUGUGGAGAAGGGUUUCGUGUGAACAGCCGUUGCACACGAGUCAGUCGAUCCUAAGCCCUAGGAGAAAUCCGAUACUAACGGCGAUGGGACGAACGAAAUUUCACGAGAAAACAGCCCAUUGAUCGGGCGAAAGGGAAUCCGGUUCCUAUUCCGGAACCCGGCAGCGGAACCGCUGUUUGUCGGGCCCUCACAAGGGGUUCGUCAGGGUAACCUAAAAGGGCCCGGAGACGCCGUCGGGAGCCCCGGAAAGAGUUUUCUUUUCUGCAUGAGCGUUCGAGUUCCCUG